ACCAUGCCCAGCUAAUUUUUCAUUUUGGGAGACGGAGUGUCACCUUGUUGGUUAGAGUGGUUUCGAACUCCUGACCUCAGGUGAUCCACCCACCUCGGCCUCCCAAAGUGCUGGGAUUACAGACGUGA